CGUACACUCCUACGGGAGGCAGCAGUGGGGAAUUUUGGACAAUGGGCGAAAGCCUGAUCCAGCCAUGCCGCGUGCAGGAUGAAGGCCUUCGGGUUGUAAACUGCUUUUGUACGGAACGAAACGGCCUUUUCUAAUAAAGAGGGCUAAUGACGGUACCGUAAGAAUAAGCACCGGCUAACUACGUGCCAGCAGCCGCGGUAAUACGUAGGGUGCAAGCGUUAAUCGGAAUUACUGGGCGUAAAGCGUGCGCAGGCGGUUAUGUAAGACAGUUGUGAAAUCCCCGGGCUCAACCUGGGAACUGCAUCUGUGACUGCAUAGCUAGAGUACGGUAGAGGGGGAUGGAAUUCCGCGUGUAGCAGUGAAAUGCGUAGAUAUGCGGAGGAACACCGAUGGCGAAGGCAAUCCCCUGGACCUGUACUGACGCUCAUGCACGAAAGCGUGGGGAGCAAACAGGAUUAGAUACCCCGGUAGUCCC
rnacentral:rRNA from 1 species